AUUCCAUCUUCAUAAUAAGGAAAGAUAGACAGGGUGUUUAUAAUUGUACUUGAUUUAAAUCUCUCCCCCCCUUGGGAAGGCAAAUCGCCGCAUGACUGUAGGUCCUUCAUGGUGAUAUUAGCGGAGUGGUUGUUUUAUACGAAAUAGUAGGUCGCUGGGCGAUAGAAAAGAAUAUCACACGAUCCAUUUCACCUAAAAAUAAUGUGCUUGCACAGAAAUGUAAAUGUUUUCCUAAGACGGAAGUAGUAUUGCGUUUUCCCUUAUAAAUUGGCUUAUGCCUUAUGAGUCUCUAAACUACAUAGUGGGAGUAAACGGAGCGUAACUACAUAGUUGGAGUAAACGGGACGGAGCAAAGACCAAAACCUCGAAAGACGAACCGGAGCAUUCGCCUUCCGGCCCUCUGGAUAGCCUUUUGUCUCUGCUCUUGGCUUGUGUCAGGUAGAAGCUGUGGAGGAGCAUCAAGAUAAUAAGGUCCAUCACCCUAACAACAAAUGGGAGAAACACGGCGAUGGGUUCGGUAUUUGAGCAGGACACAGACAAUGGUCAUCGGCUGCUGGCUGGCUUCAGUAAUUAAGUAUCACCAGAGUAACCAGAAUUACUCCACGUUCAACCAAGAGUUUCUGGCAGUCCACAGAGCCAUUUGCCACUUCCGACACAUACCAGGAUGACUACAAUUCAACGUGCAGAUGGAUCACAAACCCCUUGGUCCAUGCCUCCACUAUUGGUGGAGAUGGGUGGAUGGAGAGACAGCAGCGCCAACUUGUCGAUAGCUGAACACUCCUGCACCAUCAGAUACUUUAAAGGCGCCUCCAACAGCAUAGGACUCCCUAUCCUGAAACUCCAUCAACACCAUUCAGAUUAGGAUAUUGUAUCCCGAAAUAGCGGUGCAAAAGCAUAAUGUGGACCAGCAAUUUGGUUGAAGAACCCCACCCUGCCUUGCAGUAACCUAGCCAUCGACAACAGAGCUGACCAUCACCUGCAAGACAAGUACUGCAUGCCCUCGCCCAUGCUUACUGUUGGGGUUGAGAAUGACAGCUGUCAACAUAUCCCACCCAUCAGGCCGAUCCACUGCCUGAAUCCUGACAACACGGCAACAACUGGCCCUCAUCCACGUCAACACUGGAGGCCCCCUAACCCCCUCUGAGGGUUACAGAUACCUCUUCACAAAGUAAUUAAUCGGUACACCAGAUGGCCUGAGGUAACACAUACCAAGCAACAGACUGUGAAAAAUUGUGUGAGAGCCUUAAUAAACUGGGUUAAGGCAGAUAUGGAGUUCCUGAGUACUACAUUACCAGUGAUGAGCAGCUAACUUCUCACACCUACCUUAUGCACUCUUGGAAUGAAAGUACAACACAUGACAGCAUACAACCCAAAAGCAAACAGCGUGAUAAGAGGUUCCACUGAUCUUUGACAGUAGCACUGACGGGCAAAUGUCAUGAUGGGAGGUGGAAUAAAAAAUUGCCAUGGAUCUUUCUUCGAUCUUUCUGGGUUGAAGAACCUCUCCCCAACACAGCAUUCAAUGCGUCACCAGCAAAAGCACUCUACCAACAGUCCUUGGCAAUUCCAGCACUUUUUCUAACACAAAUACCAGCGAAAACAUGGCCAGUUGAGUAUUAUAGUACAUCCAAGAAGAAUUUGUUCAGACAAGCCACUCAUUCAUUGGAAUAGAUCCCCAUCCGCCCAUUAGAGAGCCUCAGUGGCAUGGUCAGUAUGGUGUUGGUGUACCACCUAGGUGGCUGCGAGUUUGAUUCUCGGGCAUUCUACUGAUUUGGGAGAGAGA